rnacentral:rRNA from 1 species
UACGAGGGCCUCAAGCGUUAUCCGGAAUCAUUGGGCGUAAAGGGUGUGUAGGUGGUCGUGUUAGUCUUCUGUUAAAUUCUUCGGCUUAACCGGGGGCAUGCAGAGGAAACGGCACGACUCGAGGAUGCGAGGGGUCUCUGGAACUCAUAGUGUAGCGGUAAAAUGCGCAGAUAUCAGGAGGAACACCGGUGGCGAAGGCGGGUCUCUGGGCCGAUACUGACGCUGAGGAGCGAAAGCGUGGGGAGCGAACAGG